CCUCUCUUCUUAUGGCUUGGAAAUUUUGUGAUGUUUCGGCUGAAGGGAGACAGGCACAUGCCUCCCCACCCAUGUGCUAAUUAGGGCACGCAGCUGGUUGCUUGAGAACAAGCUUCACAUCUCAAAGGAGUGCACAAAACAAGGGUUAGUUUGGGUAUGUUCCUCUUCUUCUUCUAUUUAUUUUAUUUUUUUCUAAAUAUUAUACUUUGAACCUGAAAAGCCUGCCAGAUGAAAAUAGCACAGAGAUAUUUUUCAGCAAAAAGUUCUGCUUCUGAAGAAUCAGCGUCUAUAAAAGAAAAAGGAAGUAUUUCUCCAAAAAUACUCACCGUGCUUCUUACAUACUCAUGCCUGCUGUAGUGAUCUGUCAUCCAGGGAAAGACAGGGGGAAGCAGCUCUUACAGACACACAAAAUCAUGCAAACCAGCUAUGUGCAACUGUAUUACCCACCCUGGAAAAAUAAUGGAUUAUGGUUCCUCUUGCUGGCGUAACAUAAUCUACAACGUAGUCCUGGGAUGUGAGCUAACCCCUGAAACAAUGACUUUACUGAAAGAAUCAAGCCUCUGCAGCUCUUUUAUUUUUACUUGCUAUUAUGUCUUUGAUAUACGUUUAUGUGUAGGUGGAUGUCAUAAAAUAGAUGUAGCAGUGCAUAAAAUUUGGUUUAUGAAUGCCAGAAAUCACUGGCCCCAAAGCUUUGUAAAUUAAAUCUCAAUGUCUGAGAUAAAUUUAAUUCUGAAAUGUACCUAUUCUGUGUGAUCAUUAAGCACAGAGGUAUGUACAGCAGCAUUAUCCUCAGAUGCCAAGCCUUUUAUGUCUCUGAUUUCUGGUUUGCCAUAAUUCACUUCUGUUUUACUUCAGCAACUUCAUGGACAAUGAUACAGUGAAAUACACACAAGCUUUAAAAUACGAAUACGUGUGUAGAAUUUGGGAUCCUGCAGAGAACAUUGCAGGCAUCCUUUUGAAAUAAAUUCAUCUUUUUACACAAAAAUAAUCUGCUAAUGAUCCUUCUUUUCUAAAAAAGUUAAACAUUUUUUUUUUUAACAUUGCUUCUCCAUUAGUUACCAUUUCUUUAAAGACCUUAUAAUCAUUAGCAAUAUUGGUCUGGUGGAAUUAUUAGCAUUCAAAUGUCGGAUAUCCAAUAUUUCCUUUACAAUAGGAGUUCUUUUUUAGGCUUUUGUUGAUUUGUAUAAGAUAUUACAGCCUAAAGGAGGUCCAUGAAAAAGGAUCUUAAAACUCCAAGUAAAGGAUCAAGAAAAUGAUAGUGUGUGAAAAGAGGAGUGACACCCAAGGACCUUAGCUAUUUCUCAUGCUUCAGAUGCGUCAUAUUAGCCAGUUCUGCAGUACAAGCCCUGCACUAGGUGAUAGGUCUCUGGAAAAAUUAUGUCAUCACUGGUUUGAGAAGUCUCAGAAAUGCCACUCUCUCAUUGAAGUUUUGCAGUAGGGGAAUCAGCAUGGGCUGCAUGGUGUGCUCUUAUUCUACUGAAUUUAAACUUUCACUCAGUAAAUAAAUAAACAAAUAAUUCAUUAUGAAAAGUACUGCCAAAAUAAAAGGUAGGUUUCUAAACAUUCAGGCUACAAGAACAAUGUCAUAAUAACAACCCAGUAAAUGUAUUUACCUGCGACGUGUUCAAAAUUAUUCUGCUUUUAAGGCAUUUUAAGCUGUGACAUAUCAUCUGAGCUCUUUACUAUUGUUAAAUUGCCAUUUCCUUUAGAACCACCUAGAUUUUACCAUUGAAAUGUUGGUAUCACUCAG